AGUGAACGCUGGCGGUAGGCCUAACACAUGCAAGUCGAACGGCAGCACAGUAAGAGCUUGCUCUUACGGGUGGCGAGUGGCGGACGGGUGAGGAAUACAUCGGAAUCUACUUUUUCGUGGGGGAUCACGUAGGGAAACUUACGCUAAUACCGCAUACGACCUACGGGUGAAAGCAGGGGAUCUUCGGACCUUGCGCGAUUGAAUGAGCCGAUGUCGGAUUAGCUAGUUGGCGGGGUAAAGGCCCACCAAGGCGACGAUCCGUAGCUGGUGUGAGAGGAUGGUCAGCCACAUGGGAGCGGAGACAGGGUCCAGACUCCUACGGGAGGCAGCAGUGGGGAAUAUUGGACAAUGGGCGCAAGCCUGGUCCAGCCAUACCGCGUGGGUGAAGAAGGCCUUCGGGUUGUAAAGCCCUUUUGUUGGGAAAGAAAAGCAGCAGGUUAAUACCCCGCUGUUCUGACGGUACCCAAAGAAUAAGCACCGGCUAACUUCGUG
rnacentral:rRNA from 1 species